rnacentral:rRNA from 1 species
GACGGAAGGUGCAAGCGUUGCUCGGAAUCACUGGGCGUAAAGGGUGCGUAGGCGGCUGUGUAAGUCUGGCGUGAAAGCCCCGGGCUCAGCCCGGGAAGUGCGCUCGAAACUGCGCGGCUCGAGUGCCGGAGGGGAGAGUGGAAUUCCUGGUGUAGCGGUGAAAUGCGUAGAUAUCUGGAGGAACACCGGUGGCGAAGGCGGCAUCCUGGACCGGUAUUGACGCUGAGGCGCGAAAGCUAGGGGAGCAAACGGG